rnacentral:rRNA from 1 species
GAGAGUUUGAUCCUGGCUCAGAACGAACGCUGGCGGCGUGCUUAACACAUGCAAGUCGAGUGCGCGGUUGUAGCAAUACAACUGGCGCACGGCGCACGGGUGCGUAACACGUGGGCAAUCUGCCCUCCGAUGGGGAAUAACUCCGGGAAACCGAAGCUAAUUCCGCAUAACAUUCCCUGAACCCUGGUUCGGGGAUUCAAAGCAGCAAUGCGUCGGAGGAGGAGCCCGCGCCCGAUUAGCUAGUUGGCAGGGUAACGGCCUACCAAGGCAAUGAUCGGUAGCUGGUCUGAGAGGAUGGCCAGCCACACUGGAACUGAGACACGGUCCAGACUCCUACGGGAGGCAGCAGUGGGGAAUCUUGCGCAAUGGGCGAAAGCCUGACGCAGCGACGCCGCGUGGGGGAUG